GACGAACGCUGGCGGCGUGCUUAACACAUGCAAGUCGAACGGAAAGGCCCUGCUUUUGUGGGGUGCUCGAGUGGCGAACGGGUGAGUAACACGUGAGUAACCUGCCCUUGACUUUGGGAUAACUUCAGGAAACUGGGGCUAAUACCGGAUAGGAGCUCCUGCUGCAUGGUGGGGGUUGGAAAGUUUCGGCGGUUGGGGAUGGACUCGCGGCUUAUCAGCUUGUUGGUGGGGUAGUGGCUUACCAAGGCUUUGAAGGGUAGCCGGCCUGAGAGGGUGACCGGCCACAUUGGGACUGAGAGAGGGCCCAGACUCCUACGGGAGGCAGCAGUGGGGAAUAUUGCACAAUGGGCGGAAGCCUGAUGCAGCAACGCCGCGUGCGGGAUGACGGCCUUCGGGUUGUAAACCGCUUUCGCCUGUGACGAAGCGUGAGUGACGGUAAUGGGUAAAGAAGCACCGGCUAACUACGUG
rnacentral:rRNA from 1 species